UUACGACCAUAUCACACUGAAUCACCGGUUCUCGUUCGAUCACCGAAGUUAAGCAACAUCGAGCCUAGUCAGUACCUAAAUGGGUGACAUCUUCGGGGAUGAUAGGUGC